UUAUUACAAAUCACUUUGAUUGUCUUGAGCAGUGAGAAGUACUGUCAGGUUCAAGCUUUGGUAAGUAUGUAAGAGGGGAUGUCAAAUAUGUGGACAAAGGGAAACACCAGUGAUAUCUUGUACUACAGCUGUACCUGAGAUGGGCAGACACUACAUAUUCCACACAGCAAAAUGCAGAGACAGCACAAAGUACAGAAAUACAUCUACAUCUGGAGUAGAUUUAGUAACCUAUGUCUCUGUCUUAGAAAGGGAGGGAAGAUAAAUGUUUGGAAUGGGUUAAAGGGGAAGAAGGAGUGAAUAAAACCCCUUUGGAAUCUCCAAGCCCAUUCACCAACAGAAAGAUAUUGGAUGCAGUCUUUACACACUCAGAUUCCUCUGGAUUCCUUUGACCCCUGGAAGCUAGAUUGCUGCUGAACCAAAUUCAAAAGAAAAAUUUUCCAUGUGACGAAAAACCUGUAGCAUUCUGGACAUACACUCAGAAGAUGUAACACGAGGAUGACUGGGAAGCUGGGAUUCCUGAGCACAGUGAUGUCUGGGAUUACCCUAAGAGUCAGCUAACAGCUCAUUCAACAGGACGAAUGUUAUGCUGGAGUCUUAAGUGUGUCUGUCUUGUGUCAACCGUAAUUCAAUCACAUGCAGGACUUUUAAUCUAUCUUGUUUUCUUUUCUCCUUUGCAGCUAUGUGUACAAAAGUUUCUUUCAUCUUCAUGAUCUGACAACCAAUCAAGUAUUUGAAAUUUUGUUGUUUAUACACUGUACUCUUGGAAGAAAAGCAUUGUACUACAAUCUGGAUGCUUUAUUUCUCUUCAACUUUGUCUUCAAAAUUCAGAAAUUUAUAUAUGUAAAUACAUAUAUACAUAUCUUUAUAUAUAAAUACAUACAUUGGUAACAAUUCACUUGCUUCUUUAUCUAGUGAUUUUAAAAAUGGAGUGAAUUAUGCUAGAGGAAUGAGACAUGAAAAUAAGUAUUAUCUAAAACUCAAAUGCUACUUGGGAAUCAAGGUGUUUAAAGAAAAUCAGGGUUAGAAUACACUUUUAUGUACCUUUGGGAAGCACUAAUAAAUAGUCUACAACAUGGAAGAGGGGACAUUUGGAAGAAGUGCUAGGAUUUCUGCAUAUAUUCUUCUGUGAAUUUUUGCUUUAAUAAACUUGAAGCCAUGGAGAAGAUCUAGUAAAGCAGACAGAUUUCUUGAUGCUUAUUCUAACUGAAACAAAGCUCCAAACCAUGUGAGAUUUAGCCAAUGCUAAUUAUCUCAUAUCUUUAUUGUAAUCUCUUAGUCUUUUAUGUAAACAGACUGCAUCUACCUUAGUCUGACUUUCCAUAAACUGCUCUAGCUUUAGCCAGUACUUCCCUUCUAUGAAGAUUUAUUUUGUCUGUUGACUGACUUUUGAUUACUUCCAUAUUGUUCUGAAUCCGCUUGCUGUCCCUAAAGACUUCCCACUUUAUCUUUGUUUCUUUUGUCUCUUCCUUCUUACACGUAAAAAUUGAUGCAGUUGAAAAUGUGAUCUAAAUCCUGUAGAUACAAUGGAGUUCUCAAAACUGACUGUUUCCAUUUUCUGGUACUCAUUUAGCAUUGUAAUUGCAUAUUCUUUUUAGGAAACCUGUUUUGAAUAAGCUUCUGAAAAAUGAUGCAAGUUAGGUAAAAUUCUGCAUAGAGUAAAAAAAUAUUAAGAGAACCUCUCCAACCUGGACAGAGUUGCUGUUUUCUUAGGUAAGCAGCAGAAAUGAAGAUGAGUCAAAGAACACAGAUUUAGCAUUUUCUUUUCCAGUAGUGCUGACUUCCUUCUAUAAAAAAGGGUUGGUGGUAGAUGAGAUUUUGAUACAAACAUUUCCAAGAGAUUUUUUUUCCCUUUAUGUUUCUUUGUGAAUUCCAUCUUUGUACUUUUCCUGUUACCAAGGACAGAAUAAGUACUCCCUUUGAUUACUGUUCCAAGACUCCCUCUUUUCUCGUCUUGUUGUAUAUUUUCUUUGCACUUCAUAACUUUUGGUAUUGCUCAUUUUUCAAAUGACAGGUCAAUUCCAAGUUUACAUUAGUGUUUCAGAAAUGAAACAGUCAAAUGAAUGUCCCCAUCCCAUUUCUCUUUCUGUUGUGAAAAGAAAAAUAUGACAACUGGAUUAAUUUUAGACAAGCACAAGUUCUUACAUUUUGAAUUUAGUCUUUUGAGUAGGUCUUUCAUCAAAGAUUAAUUAACCAACUAAGUGUAUCAGUCAAUUGAUAGCUAUUUAGGAGCCUACUGCAACUGCCUCUUGUCUUUGAAUUGCAGUCUUAUGAGCAUAUUGAAAAAUUCUUGCAUUCACCAGGGCAUUACUCCAGAAUUUCUGGCAGCCUUGUCCUAGGAGCAAUAGAAAUUCUUCUUGUUGUAUGAGUAAUAGGAUUUUAUUAUGGUUCCAUGGAUUGUAUGAAUCUAUGCUCAGAUUUGUAUCCAAGUCCAUUUGAAAUGGGAAUUGUAAGUGGACUGUAUAGCUAAAUUGUCAAGUUGCUCAAAUUUUUACUUUUAAAAGCUGGCAACAAUUUCUUCCCCACCAUGCAGCAGACAAGCCCAGAAAUGUAUGAUUGUAUGGAUAUGAAGUUCUUGGGUUUUAGUUUUUUAAUAGAAAGUCAUUAGCUACCUUUUGUCGGAAACGUUCCUCUAAUACUAUCUAGGCCAAAUACUGUUUUCAUCUUCCAGUAAUGCAAAGGAACAAACUAGUAUUUUUAUACCAGGGUAGCCAAGGAGAAAGCCCAACAUUUUUUCAAGGAGAUCAAAGUAAAUAUGAAUCAAGGAAAUAAAUAAAUCCUGAAAUAUGUAUGGUGCCCAUUAAAAUAAAAUGCUGUCGUUACCUUCUCAAUUUUUUUUUUUUCCUGAUGUUAUAAGAAAUUCCUUAUAUUUUCAUUGCCAUUCUGAAGGGCUCCUUUUCAAAGUAGGGUAAUCAAUUCCAGUUCCCAGGGAACAGAUGGAAAUGUUUACAUUUUCUUCCAGACUCCUUUCUCUGUAAAGAACCAGUGAAAAUCUGGAUCCUGCUACCAAGUAUCCCAGUCCAACCAUCAGUUCCUAUAUAUCCUAAGCAAGUCUAUAUGUACUGCACGUGAAGAACAUACCUUGAAGUUGGCCAGAUUUGUUCACUGCCCUUUAAAAUCUGAAAAUCCAACAAAAAACUGUGAACAAAUACAAAAUCAAAUCGGUUUUACCACAUUUGGAAUUUUGUUAUUGCAGCUAUGGAGAUCUAUAAUACAAAGACUGGAUGAUAUUAGACUUCACUUCCUAUUACACUACUUGUGCAAAGAGAAAAAGCAACCAAAAAAAAACACGUACACUUUUUAAAGACAGAGGGUAUUUUUGUACUCUAUCAGGAGCAAGGAAAUUCUGGAAAAGCUUUCAUUUUCAUGGAGUUAUCAAGUAUUUACCUCGUUCUGCAAAAUAAAUUGCAGGAUAAAGAAUAUUGUUUUUUAUUUUUUCCAAAAGGAUUUGUGUGAUAUUUCUGCUCAUUAAUUUUUUGAGACUUAUUAAUGCAUCCUGUAAGGCUUUACUAGAAAGUAUGCCAACUUACUUCUGUAAGAGAAUUAACAUCAUCCCAAAUUAGUUGAUAGACACUAAUCAGAUUGUCUUGACAUCAGAAUGUCAUACAUUCCAAGCACAGAAUUAUUUAUUUAGUGAUAUUUAGAGCUUAUUUCAGGACACCGUAUCUUUAUAUUUUCAACAUAUUGCCAUAUUAAUGUAACCCUAGUACUUGAACCCUGUGACCUCUUUUGACUGAAAUACAAAACCAUGCAAGGCAUAGUAGGGCUCAUGAUUUCAUUGCACACUGAAAUACUAGGGUAUUCAGAAAUCUUCAAGAUGGUCACCACCAUUUUUAUUCAUUUACUUUUCUCUCUCUGAUGGGAAAGCCUUAUUAUAAACUUUUAGCUCCUCAAGUCAUAGUUUCACACAUGGAAGCAAUGAGGACAGGGUGGGGACCACACCACUGCCACAUAAUGCUGCUGAGAGCUGCCUGUGUGAAGCAGGAUGUUACAAAACUAGGACUAGACUGACCUGUGCUGCUACUCUUACCAUUGAGACUGAUGAUUGAGCAGCACACCACUGGGAUAGAUUUCCUGCAGAAGUAUUGUUCAGUUAGACAUUGGGAUUUAUUGAAAAAUUUUCAAAAGGUUACUCAUUUUCUCUUCAAAAUGUACAGCAUUCUGAAAGUCAAACCCCUUAGCUCCCCCCUUACCCUGUCUUUCAGCAUAGAAACUCCUAACGUUAACACUGGCUGACAAAGAUCCUUUCAAAUACACUCUGAUGAAUCUAUGUGAAUACACAAAGACAGUGUGUAUCUAAAAGCAGAACAGAAUUCUGCAAUAAGCCUGCUUGCUUAAAAUUUGUGAGCUAGUUUCAUGGGGACAGAAUUAUCAUAAGCACACAGUAGCUAAUUUCCUAAAUGCAAUAAUGUGGUUAUUUGCCAUAAUGGUCACAGGCACUCCAUCAGUCCACAUUAAAGACUAAGAGGUUAAUCAUUUUGAGUUUAGAAGAAGAAAAAUCUGACAGGCUUGCCUUUAAAUAACAGGAUUGUAAAUGCAUUUGAAAAAAAUAUAAUUGUGGCAUUAUAACCUUUAAAAAGACGCAUUUGUAUUAAUGUAUUCAUUUAUUAAAUCCUUUCCUACCUGUGACCACAUAUGCUCAGUAUGUGUAAUUUUAUAGAUCAGUUAUGAACUUCUAUAAGGAUGUGUGAAAUGAAAAUAUUGACAGUUGAGUUUGCUGGCACAAAUUUGACAUUCUUCAAAGUGAGGGUCAAAACAUUGACAAUCAUGGAUAUUCCACAGCUCCAAAAAUAAACAAAAACAUCCGAACAAAUGUUAGAAUUUUCCUGGAGGUUUUAAUAUUGCUUUAGCUCAGCCACAUUUAAAUCAUGCCAUUUCCCUUGCCAGACAGGCAAAUGGUCUGCAAUGAUAGUUUGCCUUUCCACUGCUUCUCAGAAAGUUACAGAAAGGACAAAAUCAUGAAGCAAACAGAAAAAUACUUUGGAAAGCUGGAUGUGAAUUUAGGGAAGCAAAGUGCAGAAUCUGUUUGACAAGUUUCCUCCAGGACUGAUAUAAAAUUGAGCACAGCUGGGAUGUAAGUGCUGCAAAAGAGAGAGAAAUUGGAAAACUAUAUAACAAGGACAAAAAACUACCUUCACCAGCACAAGAUCAAUAGCAAAAAAUUUGCAGUAUUGUAAAGCAGGUUAGUACUUCACCCUCUAAUACUCUCAGUUUUGCCUUUUAGCUUAGGGAAAAAAAUUAGUCACCAACACACAGCUAGGGUGAUGAUGAAGUCUGCAUUAAGAAAAGGAGCAAGGAAUCUCUUGCCACCACCUACCACUGGAAACUGGAGAUUUUAGACAUAAAAUUCUCCCCACUGCAUAACAGAAGAUGUUUAACAUGCAGAAAACCUUCUUAUCCCAACCUCUACGGUCAUUCUACAUACUCCCUACAGAAAAGGAGGCCAGUACUCCAUUCAGAUAUACCUGUAAGUAGGAGUGUAACAACCUUAACCCUAGGGUUAUUAGUCAGAAAAUUUCCGUGAGUUGGAAGGGACCUUAAAUAUCCUACAGUUACAUCCUGCCUAUCAUGGCCAAGGUUGCCACACACUACAUCAGUGUCUCAUCACCUCAUAGUGAAGAAUGUUUUCCUUAUAACUAAUCUAAAUCUACCCUCUUACUGUUUCAGAUGGUUACCCUUCGUCAUGCCACUAUACUCCCUGGUAAAAAGUCCCCCUACAUCUUUCCAGUAGGCCUUCUUUAAUUACUGGAAGGCCACUGUAAAUUCUCUCUGGAGUUUUUUCUAGGCUACAUAACCCAAGUGUUCUCAGCCUUUCUUCAUAGGACUGGCACUUGAAAUGAAAUCCCAACCCACAUGGAGUCUAUGAGAUGUUUGGCUUUCAAAGGCAGUAGAUUAUCCAACCAAAUAAACUUUAAUGUAGACCAUGAUUAGUGAAAGAAAGUUUUCCUGGAAAAACAUGGGAUAGGGCUCACUGACUCAGAAAAUUCCUCCCAGUUGCAAGUUCAGUAUGUUCAGAAUUUCAUCUUUUCCUCGUGGCUAUCCACAUGUCAACAUUUGUGUGGUUUUUUUUAAUUAAAGUUGUUCAAGACACAGUCAGAUGUGCUGAGGCUAGGGCUGAGAUUUAACAUGGAGUCAAAUAAACCUGAACAACAGCUUGUGUAAUUUUGAGUGGUGAAACGUAGGUCACAGUAUAUGUAGCUCUUCCUGUAGCAUCUGCUAAUUCCUUAAUGUACAAUUGUAUAACCCACACAGGGGAUCAAGGGCCACUCUGUAGGUGCUUUGGGUAUGAGAGAACACAGUGUGAUUCAAGGUAUUUUUUAGUCAUCCACUUCACUAAAAAGUGAAACAUGUCUUAUUCAACAAAAAGAUCCAAAUCUGAAAUACAAUCUGGGACCUGAUGAUAGAGGAAGGCAGAACAUUAGAAGGGCCUUGAAAUCUCCCUUUGUUGUAUGAAUAGCAAGCUCUAAACAAGGACUGAGUUGAUGUCAUUCUUGUUUUUUUUGCACUCUGACAGCUGAAUUUCACACCAAAUUUGAUUGCAAUGAAGCAGUUUACUAGGCAAACCAAAAAGAAGAGCCAUUAACCUAAGCUGGAGGAAAUGAAAGCAGACAAGUUUUUUUAAUCAAAAAAAACAAGGCUGAAUUGGGGAAAACUUUUUUUCAAAAAUUAAGGUCUGAAGUGUUUUGGUGAAUAAUUUUUUGGGAAUUGUCUAGAAUCAAAACAGCAGCCAGAGGGAAGAAAUGAACGUUAUGCAGUCUAAAAACUAGCUACAAAGUCUCAUACUGGUCUGUAGCUGCUUGCAAAAUGUUUGAAGAUAGCAUUCAUCAGGAAGUUAUUAAUACCUGAAAAAAAAAAAAAGAACUAAAAUUGUCACAAAUUUCAAUGUCUAAGCAGUUAUUGAUCAUUUUGAAAAUGAUUAGGCCAAUGCUGUGCCAUACAGCAGUACUCCAGUACAACUUUUUUGGCUCUAGUCAGUGUACAACUACCUCUUGAUAAGCUGUUUUAAGGAUCUCAUGGUCAUGCAUGGAGUUUAGUAACUGCCAAAAAUUGCUGGAAUGAAAGAGAAGGAUUAUUAUGAAAGCCUGAACAGCAUAGUUUAAAAAUUAAUCAAGCAGUUGGAAAAAAAUGCAUGACUGAGAGAGAUGAAAAUCAAAAUCCUCUGUUUAUCCACACGAGCAGAUAAAACGUUACCAGCCAUUAUGCAAGAUCUACUUUGCCAGCUCAGCAUAACUCUGACCCAAUGAACUACAUGAAAUUACUGAAAGUCCUAGAUCCUGCUGCAAAAAGGGCCCUGACUCCCAGACUGACACCCAACCUUGAUGUCAACUCAGGCCUGGGGCUCUUUAAAAGUACUUAGAAGAAUGCCAAAUGGCUGUGGGUUCUGGUUUUGGGGGGGCAGGGGAGCAGAGGGGGUGACAGCCAAAUAAUUACACAGAAGCCACGGAGGGACAGCUGUUGUAUGGAAAUGACUUCUAGUUAACAGGUGUAGUUGACAGACUGCAACAACUGGCAAAUUAUUUCAUAGAUUUGACUGAGAAGAGAAUCUGAGGACAGCUGACAAAAGGAAACAACAGGUGGGUUUUCAUUCAGACAUAUCAUUUCAAGAAGCAGAUCCUUAACUGCCCUUUGGUACCUCAUUAAAGCAUAAGCCAGAAACUGAUCCGAUUUGAUUUCAAUGUCAACUUUCAGAAAUAAAGAAAACAGGGAUACUGUAAGGGAAUAUUGUAAAAACUUCAUCUCUGACUGCUGUGCACAAAAGCGCAGGUAUCUCUUACUCCAAAAAACAGCAUUUAUAUCUCUAAAUAUUUACACAAGUCUCUAGGAUAACAGCAGAGAAAUUUCAAAAUCAAAGACAGCUUUUCAAAGUUGGACUUGCUGAUAAGGAAAACAAAUAUGAGAAAAAACAGUGCUGUCUUCUUUCCACAUUCUACGUUUCAUUCUUUUUUUCACUUCAGUAGUGUGCAGGUCUAACAGAUCACAGGCUUCUGAGACUCAUUUCAGGACUGUGAAAUCCAGAAGGUACAGAGAGUGAAGGAUUCCAUUCCAUCUGAGACUGACCACAAAAGCU
ensembl:lncRNA